UUGCUUUGGAAACACAUAUACUAAUAUUGAAGGAUUAGCAUGGCCCCUGUACAAGAAUGACAUGCAGAUUCAUGAAGUGCUCCAUAUUUUU
ensembl:snRNA U6 U6 spliceosomal RNA